AUUGAACGCUGGCGGCAUGCCUUACACAUGCAAGUCGAACGGCAGCAUGGAGAGCUUGCUCUCUGAUGGCGAGUGGCGAACGGGUGAGUAAUGCAUCGGAACGUACCGUGUAAUGGGGGAUAACGUAGCGAAAGUUACGCUAAUACCGCAUACGACCUGAGGGUGAAAGCAGGGGAUCGCAAGACCUUGCGUUAUACGAGCGGCCGAUGUCAGAUUAGCUAGUUGGUGAGGUAAAGGCUCACCAAGGCGACGAUCUGUAGCGGGUCUGAGAGGAUGAUCCGCCACACUGGGACUGAGACACGGCCCAGACUCCUCCGGGAGUCAGCAGUGGGGAAUUUUGGAAAAUGGGGGCAACCCUGAUCCAGCCAUGCCGCGUGAGUGAAGAAGGCCUUCGGGUUGUAAAGCUCUUUCGGCCGGGAAGAAAUCGCACAGGCUAAUACUCUGUGUGGAUGACGGUACCGGCAUAAGAAGCACCGGCUAACUACGUGCCAGCAGCCGCCGUAA
rnacentral:rRNA from 1 species